UACGAAAGGGGCUAGCGUUGCUCGGAAUCACUGGGCGUAAAGGGCGCGUAGGCGGCCGAUCAAGUCGGGGGUGAAAGCCUGUGGCUCAACCACAGAAUUGCCUUCGAUACUGUUUGGCUAGAGACCGGAAGAGGUUAGUGGAACUGCGAGUGUAGAGGUGAAAUUCGUAGAUAUUCGCAAGAACACCAGUGGCGAAGGCGGCUAACUGGUCCGGUUCUGACGCUGAGGCGCGAAAGCGUGGGGAGCAAACAGG
rnacentral:rRNA from 1 species